UAAUCUCAAGUCAACAUUUUGGUUUAUCCGAUUUGUUGAUUUGGACUUGGAGGUUGUGCUGAUCUUUGUAUUGGCUCCUCUUAAAUGCAUUAGCUGGAUUACUAUCAGUAAUAGUCCAUGGUGUUGUAAUCUCGGCGCUGUGACUUGACUGAAUGACGAUCUGCUUCUAAUAUAAUUGCCUCUGGCAAUAUUUGCAA
rnacentral:misc_RNA from 1 species